UAGGGAAUAUUGGGCAAUGGGCGGAAGCCUGACCCAGCCACGCCGCGUGCAGGAAGACGGCCCUCUGGGUUGUAAACUGCUUUUAACUGGGAAGAAAAGAGGCUUUGCGAAGCAAGUUGACGGUACCAGUUGAAUAAGCCACGGCUAACUACGUGCCAGCAGCCGCGGUAAUACGUAGGUGGCGAGCGUUAUCCGGAUUUAUUGGGUUUAAAGGGAGCGUAGGCGGCUGAUUAAGUCAGCGGUGAAAGGUAGCAGCUUAACUGUUUUACAUGCCGUUGAUACUGGUUAGCUUGAGUUGACAGAAGGCAGAUAGAAUUCCUGGUGUAGCGGUGAAAUGCUUAGAUACCAGGAGGAAUACCGAUUGCGAAGGCAGUCUGCUGCAGUCACACUGACGCUGAGGCUCGAAGGUGCGGGGAUCAAACAGGAUUAGAUACCCUGGUAGUCCGCACAGUAAACGAUGAUUACUAGAUGUUGGCCAAGCCAGUGUCCAAGGGAAACCGAUAAGUAAUCCACCUGGGGAGUACGCCGGCAACGG
rnacentral:rRNA from 1 species